rnacentral:lncRNA from 1 species
AGAAUAACAAAUAUAACAUCAAAACCAAAUACAUGAAUUUGGGAUAGAAAAGUACCGUGACACGUCUUAUAGUAAUGUGAAUUCACACUAAAAUAUAAGAGAAAACAAACGACACAACGGAAACACAACGUAAAAAUGUUACACACACAGAAACAAACUAUGAUAUAACAAUGGCCAUUUUCCUGACUUGGUACAGGACAUUUUUAAAGAAAAAAAUGGUGGGUUGAACCUGGUUUUGUGGCAUG